UAUAAGAAGAAUAAUAAUAAAAUAAGCAAUAAGAAAUAAAUAUAAUAUAAAUACAUAAAUAAGUAGUGGAGUGCAGCGGGCUCUCUCUCUCAUUCUAAAAAACAUGGAAUUGGAAUGGAACCCAUUUUGAGUUUCUCACCGUUAGCGAUUCUCAUCCAGUCCUUCUAACCUGUCGAUUGCUUUAUCUUAACAUCAACAACAAAACCUCCAUCAACAUCUUCAGUUAUGCCUCCAAUUGAAGAAAGUGUUCUAGUUCGUUUGCUUCAAAAGAAUCCCAAGAUGAUAGUAAACCACUAUGGAGAUUUGUCACUAUCACUGUGGUGCAGAAUAAUGAUUCUGCAGGUGGGAACAAGCUUUGGAGGUGCAACUUUUGUCAAAAAGAGGUGAGGAGUUCAUACUCUAGAGCGAGAUUUCACUUAUUGAAAAUUGAUGGUGAAGGAGUUCAGGUAUGUUCUUCAUCAUGUUCUGAGAGAAAUUGGAGUACUUACUCUUUUAUUCAUUCUUUGAAAAGAAAUAAAAUGGAUCCAAAAAGGGCUGAAGAUUUGGUUUAUGCGCAUGACCCACUUGAUGGUGUUGGAAUUGAAUUAGCUGAGUUAUCUUUAGAUGAACCAGAGUUGGAGGCUUUAAUGUUCUUUGAUGAUGGAAACAGAGGAGAGGAGACCGAUACAAUCAGUGUUUCCUCUUAAGUAGUGAAUGUUGGACUAUGAUGUUCUUUAUGAAUAGCUAAACUAUGUCCUUUUUGGGUAGUGCUGAUGAUGAUUUUUUUGGAUAGUACUAAUGAUGUCAUUUUAUAACGGUACUUAACUUAAGAUAUGUAAAUGUCACUUGUUUGCUCAUUUUGAGUAAUUUGAAUGGUAAUUUAUCAUCAAUUUUAGUAAUGUUUA